GAGUGGAGGGAGAGCUGCUCUCACAGCUCCUGCCACAAGGAACUGCAGAGGUGCAGAAGAGCCUGCAGCUCCCUCCUUAUUUACAGAACAUUAGUGUUGCUGCAGCAACCCCAAGUAACCCUGCUGCCCAGCGCCCCUCCAGACACACUGGCUGCUCUUUUAUCAGCCACCAAGAGAAACAGAAAGUUGCACAGAGCAACUGUUCAAGCUGCCUUGGAGGUAAACUGUCUCAAGUGAUAAGGAAUUAUGAAACCUCUGAGCCCAAGAUAAUACCCUCUCACACUUAGGCUGUACAAGACCAGUACUAAGAAAUCCUGUCAGGACCAGCCUUUGCCUCUGAUCCCUUUAGCCUCUGCAACAGCCCAGCAUUUGAGGCAAUGUAUUGGGUCCCACUUGCCAAUCCAGAACAAGUUUAAUUGACUUUGCUCUUUGCAGUAACUCUUUGCAAACACAGUCUAAUCCCAUUUAAUCCCCACAAAGUACUGGAAGCCAGGUAAUACCUGUCAUAUUAGAGAUAAUUCCUCAGAUUUGGGCUUAUUAUAUUUAUUUACACAAAGCAUUGAGGAUGCUUUGUGUAAAUAAAUCACAGGUUAGGAUGAGGGAUCCCAGCUGUGAGUACAGCUGUUCAAAUUCACAGGACUGUUUCUAACAUUUCCACAGGCUUUUCUUCAGAAAUUGGUUGUCUAAAUAAACAUCUGAGCCACGUAGCAGAGCUAUUGCCUCCUCUGCCUGUCUUUUUGAAUCUUUGCUAAAUCCUUUUAUCAUAGCAGGGCUGAUACUUUUCUAAAAUUAUUUAAUUAUUAAUAAUUAAGCACUGUAUUAUUUUUUAUUUUAACAGCCUAUAGAGGACCUCCUUCCAGAAAGUUGCAGUGAAUAUCAACAGUUACCAGCCUGUCUGCCAAGUAUUUCAUAAUUAAGAUAAUAGCUCUUCCAGAGGAUUAUCAGGACCCUGGAGAAAAGUUGGGCUGAACUGACAUCUCUGACUGAUGACUGCAGACCUUCCUUCCUUGCCUCCCACUUCAGCACACCUGCUUGCAGUGAUUGAUUUCCUGAUAGCUGCUGUGAAGAAACGACCAGACAAAGGACUGAAGUGAGACAGGAUGGGAGAGAAUCUGAGCCCUGGUCUCCAGCCCUAAUUCUGCAUUCCUAACCCCAGACUCCUGUACAAAAUGAAAGCGUGCAUCCCCCAUCACCUGUGCUUAGGUUCAUCCCAUUCACUAGAGGUCUAUAUGCCAGCAUGGUAAAUCCCACUCCUAAAGCCUCUUCUGAAGCCUGGAAACAUCAGAAUUUUGUUUAUAAUCUGGUCUAUGUCAGAAUAUGAAGAACUGCUUCUCAGACCUCUUAUGUUUCUUCUUAAUUUCUCAUCCUAAAAUUUAAGUAGCUGCAGUUGAGAAGAACUGUAUUUCAAUUGUUAAAUAGCUUGCAUUUUUUAGAAGUAUGACAAUGUUUUUGAAUAUCCAGUCUUCCAGUCCACAUGCAAGCAUUAACCCCAUAGUCUGCAGUCAGUCUUAGUACCCAGAAAAUGUCUUUGUUAAUUUGAAUCUGAGAGGUGAUAUGAACUCUGUUCUGACAUAACUCCAGGAAAUAAGCAAGUACCAGGGAAGAAUUAAUAAAUGCCUCCCUUUUGUCAAGGAAAGUUAUCCCUCAGAGUUUUCUUUGAAGAAGCAUGCAACAGUGGACAUGGGAAACCUGCAUGUCACUUCAAUUUGAAAAGAUUGUUUAGAUCAGCCAUCCUCCAAAUAUUGAUGAAGAAACUAAAGUGGAAAAGCUCAAGAUGGAAAAUCCUUGAAUGAACAAAGACCUGUACAAAAGAUGGGCAACAGAC